rnacentral:rRNA from 1 species
CAAUAGCGUAUAUUUAAGUUGUUGCAGUUAAAAGGCUCGUAGUUGGAUUUCGGUUAAGAGCGACCGGUCCGCCGUUUGGUGUGCACUGGUUGGUUUUAACUUCCUGUAGAGGACGUGCUCUGGGUUUAACGACCUGGACUCGGAGUCUACGUGGUUACUUUGAAAAAAUUAGAGUGUUCAAAGCGGGCUUACGCUUGAAUAUUUCAGCAUGGAAUAACACUAUAGGACUCCUGUCCUAUUUCGCUGGUCUCGGGACGGGAGUAAUGAUUAAGAGGAACAGUUGGGGGCAUUCGUAUUUCAUUGUCAGAGGUGAAAUUCUUGGAUUUAUGAAAGACGAACUUCUGCGAAAGCAUUUGCCAAGGAUGUUUUCAUUAA